rnacentral:rRNA from 1 species
UACGUAGGGGGCAAGCGUUGUCCGGAUUUAUUGGGCGUAAAGAGCUCGUAGGCGGCUUGUCGCGUCGAAUGUGAAAUCCUGCGGCUCAACUGCAGGCUUGCAUUCGAUACGGGCAGGCUCGAGUUCGGUAGGGGAGACUGGAAUUCCUGGUGUAGCGGUGAAAUGCGCAGAUAUCAGGAGGAACACCGGUGGCGAAGGCGGGUCUCUGGGCCGAUACUGACGCUGAGGAGCGAAAGCGUGGGGAGCGAACAGG